GGUGUUUCUCAGGUGAUGCACCCUGGAAUCGGGCUCCUUCUCUCUGAUUCCGGGUGCGUCACCCAAGAACCGCA
rfam:Myotis davidii contig158894, whole genome shotgun sequence.